AGUGAACGCUGGCGGUAGGCCUAACACAUGCAAGUCGAACGGCAGCACAGUAAGAGCUUGCUCUUACGGGUGGCGAGUGGCGGACGGGUGAGGAAUACAUCGGAAUCUACUUUUUCGUGGGGGAUAACGUAGGGAAACUUACGCUAAUACCGCAUACGACCUACGGGUGAAAGCAGGGGAUCUUCGGACCUUGCGCGAUUGAAUGAGCCGAUGUCGGAUUAGCUAGUUGGCGGGGUAAAGGCCCACCAAGGCGACGAUCCGUAGCUGGUCUGAGAGGAUGAUCAGCCACACUGGAACUGAGGCGCGGUCCAGACUCCUACGGGAGGCAGCAGUGGGGAAUAUUGGACAAUGGGCGCAAGCCUGAUCCAGCCAUACCGCGUGGGUGAAGAAGGCCUUCGGGUUGUAAAGCCCUUUUGUUGGGAAAGAAAAGCAGCAGGUUAAUACCCCGCUGUUCUGACGGUACCCAAAGAAUAAGCACCGGCUAACUUCGUG
rnacentral:rRNA from 1 species